ACGAGGCCGCGCCGGUAUAUUGCUACAUA
rnacentral:sRNA from 1 species